UCCGGUAUGGUGUAGUGGCUAGCAUUUUCCGCUUUCAAUUCGAUCUGAUCGAGUGAACAGUCCCGGGAAGACCCGGGUUCAAUUCCCGGUACCGGAA